rnacentral:SRP_RNA from 1 species
ACUGGGAGCGUGGCGCCUCCUGUAAUCCGGCUACACGGAGGUCGGAACCGGAGGAUGGUUUGAAGUUGGAGGUCUCUGACGCUUUGUGACCCAUGUUGACUGGACGUCCAUACUAAUGCCGGUACUAAUAUGGAACCUCGAGGUGAGCCAGGGAGGAUCCAGGUUAAUUAAGGAGGGGCGAACUGGGCCAGGGGGGAAACCCAGCAGCCAAAAGUCCCCAUAUCGGGAAGUAGUGGGAUAGCGGCCGGGAGUGGGCGCUUAGUGCCAGCCUGAUUAAUACAACCAGACCCGAUUCCUA